AUUCUCCUCCCUCCGUUGCACAAUACUACAUGCCUUCUAUUUGUCAAAAUAUAUAUGUAUCUAGACAUGUCUUAGUAUAUAGGUACAUCCAAUUUUGGACAAAUGGAAGUCAAGUAUUUUGGAACGGAGGGAGUACACA
rnacentral:pre_miRNA from 1 species